UACGUAGGGUGCAAGCGUUAAUCGGAAUUACUGGGCGUAAAGCGUGCGCAGGCGGUUUUGUAAGUUUGUCGUGAAAUCCCCGGGCUCAACCUGGGAAUGGCGAUGAAGACUGCAAGGCUAGAGUUUGGCAGAGGGGGGUAGAAUUCCACGUGUAGCAGUGAAAAUGCGUAGAUAUGUGGAGGAACACCGAUGGCGAAGGCAGCCCCCUGGGUCAAAACUGACGCUCAUGACACGAAAAGCGUGGGGGAGCAAACAGG
rnacentral:rRNA from 1 species